AGGGCACCACCAGGAGUGGAGCCUGCGGCUUAAUUUGACUCAACACGGGAAAUCUCACCAGGCCCGGACACCGGAAGGAUUGACAGAUUGAGAGCUCUUUCUUGAUUCGGUGGGUGGUGGUGCAUGGCCGUUCUUAGUUGGUGGAGCGAUUUGUCUGGUUAAUUCCGAUAACGAACGAGACUCUGGCCUACUAACUAGACGUUGGAUCCCUUUGUGGGUCCAUCGCAGCUUCUUAGAGGGACGGGCGGCGUUUAGCCGCACGAGAUUGAGCAAUAACAGGUCUGUGAUGCCCUUAGAUGUUCUGGGCUGCACGCGCGCUACACUGAAGGAAUCAGCGUGUGUUCCCUAUCCGAAAGGAUUGGGAAACCCGUUGAACCUCCUUCGUGAUGGGGAUUGGGGAUUGCAAUUAUUCCCCAUGAACGAGGAAUUCCCAGUAGGCGCGAGUCAUAAGCUUGCGUCGAUUACGUCCCUGCCCUUUGUACACACCGCCCGUCGCUACUACCGAUCGAGUGAUUUAGU
rnacentral:rRNA from 1 species